rnacentral:rRNA from 1 species
AUUGAACGCUGGCGGCAGGCCUAACACAUGCAAGUCGAGCGGAUGAAGGGAGCUUUCUCCUGGAUUCAGCGGCGGACGGGGGAGUAAUGCCUAUGAAUCUGCCUGGUAGUGGGGGAUAACGUCCGGAAACGGGCGCUAAUACCGCAUACGUCCUGAGGGAGAAAGUUGGGGAUGUUCGGACCUCACGCUAUCAUAUGAGCCUAGGUCGGAUUAGAUAGUUGGUGGGGUAAAGGCCUACCAAGGCGACGAUCCGUAACUGGUCUGAGAGGAUGAUCAGUCACACUGGAACUGAGACACGGUCCAGACUACUAAGGGAGGGAGCAGUGGGGAAUAUUGGACAAUGGGCGAAAGCCUGAUCCAGCCAGGCGGCGUGUGUGAAGAAGGUCUUCGGAUUGUAAAGCACGUUAAGUUGGGAGGAAGCGCAGUAAGUUAAGACCUUGCUGUUUUGACGUUACCAACAGAAUAAGCACCGGCUAACUUCGUG